UUUACAAUUUGAUACUAAUUAACUCUGAUCUUUUAAAUCUUCACCUCUUUUUGUCAUAACUUACUCACAAAUUUACAAUUUUAUUUAAUACAUUUUAGUUUANGUAGCUCUGUAUUUUGGAUCCGAACUAUGUAUAUGAAACUCUGUUUUAUCUAGCUUCAGUUUCUCUAGCAGCUCUCUACUACUGUUUGUAGUAGUGUUUGAUUUACAGGUACAGCUAUCGCUUCGUAUACAGGGAAAAUUUCUUUGUAUACGGCGGAUCUGUCGGCGUGCCCGGGGAACGUGUAAUCCGGGGCGUGACAUAGUUAAAGAUAAAAUGGGCU
rnacentral:lncRNA from 1 species